rnacentral:rRNA from 1 species
UACGUAGGGUGCGAGCGUUAAUCGGAAUUACUGGCGUAAAGCGUGCGCAGGCGGUGAUGUAAGACCGAUGUGAAAUCCCCGGGCUUAACCUGGGAACUGCAUUGGUGACUGCAUCGCUCGAGUAUGGCAGAGGGGGGGUAGAAUUCCACGUGUAGCAGUGAAAUGCGUAGAGAUGUGGAGGAAUACCGAUGGCGAAGGCAGCCCCCUGGGUCAAUACUGACGCUCAUGCACGAAAGCGUGGGGAGCAAACAGG